AUUGAACGCUGGCGGCAUGCCUUACACAUGCAAGUCGAACGGCAGCACGGGAGCAAUCCUGGUGGCGAGUGGCGAACGGGUGAGUAAUAUAUCGGAACGUGCCCAGUCGUGGGGGAUAACGCAGCGAAAGUUGUGCUAAUACCGCAUACGCCCUGAGGGGGAAAGCGGGGGAUCGUAAGACCUCGCGUUAAUGGAGCGGCCGAUGCCGGAUUAGCUAGUUGGUGAGGUAAAGGCUCACCAAGGCGACGAUCCGUAGCUGGUCUGAGAGGACGACCAGCCACACUGGAACUGAGACACGGUCCAGACUCCUACGGGAGGCUG
rnacentral:rRNA from 1 species